rnacentral:rRNA from 1 species
UACGAAGGGGGCGAGCGUUGUUCGGAUUUACUGGGCGUAAAGGGCGCGUAGGCGGUACCAUAAGUCAGAUGUGAAAGCCCUGGGCUUAACCUAGGAGGUGCAUUUGAUACUGUGGAACUAGAGAUCGAGAGAGGAAAGUGGAAUUACGAGUGGAGAGGUGAAAUUCGUAGAUAUUCGUAAGAACACCAGUGGCGAAGGCGACUUUCUGGCUCGAUACUGACGCUAAGGCGCGAAAGCGUGGGGAGCAAACAGG